rnacentral:rRNA from 1 species
AGUGAACGCUGGCGGUAGGCCUAACACAUGCAAGUCGAACGGCAGCACAGUGAUAGCUUGCGCUUACGGGGGCCGAGUGGCGGACGGUUGAUGAAUACAUCCGAAUCUGCUGUUUCGUGGGGGAUGACGUAGGGGAUCUUACGCUAAUACCGCAUACGACCUAAGUGGGGAAGCAUGGGAUCUUCCGACCUUGCGCGAUUGUAGGAGGCGAUGUCGGAUUAGCUAGUUGGCGGGGUAAAGGCCCACCAAGGCGACGAUCCGUAGCUGGUCUGAGAGGAUGAUCAGCCACACUGGAACUGAGACACGGUCCAGACUCCUACGGGAGGCAGCAGUGGGGAAUAUUGGACAAUGGGCGCAAGCCUGAUCCAGCCAUACCGCGUGGGUGAAGAAGGCCUUCGGGUUGUAAAGCCCUUUUGUUGGGAAAGAAAAGCAGCAGGUUAAUACCUUGCUGUUCUGACGGUACCCAAAGAAUAAGCACCGGCUAACUUCGUG